UACCGGGGGUCGGGACCACCGGGAUUGCCCUAGUAACGGCGAAGUGAAAGCGGCAAAAGCUCAAAUUUGAAAUCUGGCCCCCCCGGGGUCCGAAUUGUAAUUUGGAGAAGGUGCUUCGGGAACGACGGCGGCUCAAGUCCCUUGGAACGGGGCGUCAUAGAGGGUGAGAAUCCCGUAUGCGGCCGAUCGUCCGCCCCGUGUGAAGCCCUUUCGACGAGUCGGGUUGUUUGGGAAUGCAGCCCUAAGUGGGUGGUAAAUUUCAUCUAAAGCUAAAUACCUGCCAAAGACCGAUAGCGCACAAGUAGAGUGAUCGAAAGGUGAAAAGAACUUUGAAAAGAGAGUUAAACAGUACGUGAAAUUGUUGAAAGGGAAGCGCUUGCAGCCAGACUCGUACGCGGGGGCUCAGCCGCUCUGCGGGGCGGUGUACUCCCCCGCGCUCGGGCCAGCAUCGGUUCUGGCGGUCGGACAAAGGCCCCGGGAAUGUAGCUCCCUCCGGGGAGCGUUAUAGCCCGGGGUACAAUGCGGCCUGUCGGGACCGAGGAUCGCGCUUUUGCUAGGAUGCUGGCGUAAUGGCUGCCAGCGACCCGUCUUGAAACACGGACCAAGGAGUUAACGAACCUUGCGAGUGUUAGGGCGUAAAACCCUUGCGCGCAAUGAAAGUGAACGUAGGUGGGAGCCUUCGGGCGCACCAUCGACCGAUCUUGAUGUUUUCGGACGGAUUUGAGUACGAGCACGGUUCGUUUGACCCGAAAGAUGGUGAACUAUGCGUGAAUAGGGUGAAGCCAGAGGAAACUCUGGUGGAGGCUCGCAGCGGUUCUGACGUGCAAAUCGAUCGUCAAAUUUGCGCAUAGGGGCGAAAGACUAAUCGAACCAUCUAGUAGCUGGUUCCUGUCGUUUUCCCCCCCCAAAAAAAA
rnacentral:rRNA from 1 species